rnacentral:lncRNA from 1 species
CAUCCCAUAGUCCAGAUGUGGUGGCUAUACCUGCAAUCCCAGAACUGGGUCCAGGAGUUGGAAGUAGGAAGAUAGAAGUUCGAGGUCAUCCUUAGUCAUAUACUAAGUUGGAGGCUAGCCUGUGCUACAAGACCAUUUCAAAAACUGAAACCGAGAGGGGCUACUGAUUGGUAUCCUAGGGGGUCAUUGUCACAGGUCACAAUUUGUCACAAUUUGAGAUUUGCUCACACACCUUUGGCCCUAUGAUGACAGUCCUGUAGCACUUAGCCUUGAACUGUAGGCCUGCCCUGUGCUCCCCUAGGCCGUGCUGAUCCCAAGCAGCUGCCAAGACAGACAUGGGCGCAGGCUUCUCUGCGCAUGCACUAACCAGCUCACUCUCCUUUCUUCUCUCUCUCUCUCUCUCCCCAUCUCCCGUCCUGUGUGUGCAUUUGUGCGUGUGGCCUGCACUACCCCUGGGUGUCUCUCAACCUCGUCCCGCCCUCCUCCGCAUGACCAGGACGGGGCUCUUCACCCCCGACAUGGCCUUUGAAGCCAUCGUGAAAAAACAACUUGUAAAGCUCAAAGAGCCGAGUUUGAAGUGUGUUGACCUGGUGGUGUCGGAGCUAGCCACGGUCAUUAAAAAGUGUGCUGAGAAGCUCAGUUCCUACCCCCGCCUUCGAGAGGAGACCGAACGCAUUGUCACCACCUACAUCAGGGAGCGAGAAGGGAGAACCA